AUCUUUCUAGUAUUAAAUAGUACAAGUGCCUUCCAAUUACUCAGUCUUGGUUAAAGUCCAAGGAAAGAUA
rnacentral:tRNA from 2 species